rnacentral:other from 2 species
GAAUUCCUGAGGUACACGAUAACCCUUGUAUUUGAACCUACAGUAAUUUGACGGGAUUUGGAAGUAUGAAUGCAGAUGUCAAGCCGUGAUCUGGCGGAAGACAGAAACAUCCAUCACAGAACCCACCUGGCGUAUGCUAGGCGUCAAAAAAAAGGGCCGGUAUUUUGGGAAUUUU